CCUGGAUAUUUUGGCGCUCGGCCUUAUCUCAUCCUGGCCGCGCCGCUCAACGCAGGGAGAAAAUCCCACUGCCCCUCUCCCUGAUCCUUAUCCCUACGCACGCAGGCUACUUAUCCCCAGUCAUCUUCUCCUUCCCUGCAGCGGCGUGCUCCUAUGCUCCUCCCCAGCGUCCCUCACCGAGCACCCUCUGGCCCAGCUCCUCGCCAUUUUGCGCCCUCGGAGUCGUCCGGUCCAGUGUGCUUCGGUGGAUGGGCGUCGACUCCCCGGCGUCGGCUUCGAGCUCCCUCCCUCAACGCCGUCCUCCCAGCAGCGAGUGUCUCUCUUCCUCGACGUCUCUUCCAUGGUUGCGGCUCCCUCUCUCUUUCUGGCCUCCACUGCCGCGUCACUGGAUCGGUCCUGCUCGCCCCCAUGGCGCCUGGGUGGAUCUCCCUCCUCCCUGAAGCUUUUCCCCAUGGCGCCCAGUCUUGGUUGCUCCCUGUGCCGUGGAGUCUCCUGCGCGCCCAGCCAUUUCUUUCUUCUCCCUCAGCUCGCUCCCUGUUCGCCGCGUGCUCUGGAGUCCUCUCUGCACCGCACCGUGAAGCUCCCAUGGCGCCCUGCUUCUCUCCCUACUGGCGCGCCGUGGAGCCCUUGCUUUCUUUCAUGCAGCGCCUGCUUUCCUUGCCGCGUGUUGCCUCAGCUCCCUCGUCGCGGAUCCUGCUCGCGAGCAUGCUCCUUCCCUGAAGAUUUUCCCCCAUGGCGUCCCUGUUUUUUCUUCUUCCCUGCGCGCAGCUCGUUCUUUCUCUGUUUGCCGCGUGCGUCUCUCUCUGCGCGCUUCUCUCUCCCGCCCCUUCUCUCCCAUGGUGCGCCCUGGUCCUUGCUUCUUUCUCUCUCUGCUCAUCCCCAAGCUGCGUCCUGGAGUUUGAGUUCGUCAUCUUCAACCUUGGUCCAAGCCACUCGCUCUCUGCCACGCGCCAUGGAACUCUCUGCGUCGCGCGUGGUCCUGCUCUUCUCACCGCGCUCGGAUUCCGUCUCCCUGCGCGCACUCUCGGAUUCCGUCUCCCUCACGCACCCCUUGCCGAACCCGUGGUCACGGUCUCGCCUUGCUGCCACAGCCGCGCCUACUACCGCGACCGACCUGCUCCCUUGUGCGCGCUCUGCUUCCUUGCCGAGCUCAUCCCUGUGCACUGAGGUCGCGUGCAGCUCGUGCCCUGCUCGGUUGCUGCUUCCUGUUCCCCGUGUCUGAGCUCGUCCUCGACCUCGUCGUACGUCGUUCUUUGGUCCCGGAUUGGUGGUCGUGCGGGUGCUGUUGGUGAUGGGCGACAAUUGUUGCCAUCGUGGUGCCGAUCUUCCCUGCCGACCUUGCCGUAAUCCAUAGUCGCGACCUCGCCUAACGCAUUCGUCGCUUGGCCCUGUGCCGUUUGGCUCGGCGACCGUGUUCGCUACCGUGUGCGCUUGUUCCUAAUGCGCAUCGUGCCGUAGUUCAAUCUCGCCGAUUGACUCCCGCUAUUCGCCGUGCUGUGUGCUGGCGUUCUCUCGCGACGGACCACGCCGUCGUCUAGCCUUAUUCGCUUCGCCGUAGCACCAUCGUCAUCUGCCAGCUCCAUCACCCGUCAUUUUUGGUAUUUUCCCCAACACCGCGCCUUUCUGAUCUCGUCGUUCGUCGAUGCAAUUUAUGUGUGCGGAUGAAGAAAGUGAAGCCAGUGUAUAUAGCUCGCGGGUGUUCAGCUGAAGGUCGUCGUCGUCGUUCCGUGCGUCGUCAAGAAAUCCCAAGCAUCGGGUGAAGAUGAAGCUAGCAGCGUGAUGUUCACCAAGUGCGCGACAAAAAGCUCGAACAUGUCGUCGAUCGUCAUCCUCGUCUACACCAAGAUCUGAGAAGAUUAGGCGCAGAAGAAAAUAAAUCAGUACGCGGCCGAAGAAUUCUCGAUGUGGACAAAGAAGCGCGAUUUGACGUAGCACUCACCCUAUUUCCGGUGAAAUGCUGAGCUGAAAGGCGUCGAUUUCGUGGUUUCAAGUCGGAUGUCAUAAGGGUUAUAGUUUUGUGCUGCUGAUGAUGGUGUUAAGUGCCGGUGGGCUCGACCUUCUUAUAAGUCUAAAUAACUCUCCUAUACUUCUUAUUGAGGAUGGUCACUUGAGCUAGCAUAUAUAUCAAACUUAUACUUUUGUAAUCACUCCGAUGAAUAUAAUGUAAAACUUUUGUAACUUGUAAAAUUUGAUAAUAAGAUUUCCGUUGCAAAAAUAUUGGUGUGUGUGAUUUGUGUUACUUAAUCUUGUGGUCCUGGUUAUAAGUGGUUUAUCCGAUGUCCUUAGGGCAAUCGGACGGAUCCUGUUAAGUUAUCUGGUGCACAUGCAUAGCCGUCUG
rnacentral:misc_RNA from 1 species